GGCGUGCUUAACACAUGCAAGUCGAACGAUGAAGCCCAGCUUGCUGGGUGGAUUAGUGGCGAACGGGUGAGUAACACGUGAGUAACCUGCCCUUAACUCUGGGAUAAGCCUGGGAAACUGGGUCUAAUACCGGAUAGGAGCGCCUACCGUGGUGGGUGUUGGAAAGAUUUAUCGGUUUUGGAUGGACUCGCGGCCUAUCAGCUUGUUGGUGAGGUAAUGGCUCACCAAGGACGACGGGUAGCCGGCCUGAGAGGGUGACCGGCCACACUGGGACUGAGACACGGCCCAGACUCCUACGGGAGGCAGCAGUGGGGAAUAUUGCACAAUGGGCGCAAGCCUGAUGCAGCGACGCCGCGUGAGGGAUGACGGCCUUCGGGUUGUAAACCUCUUUCAGUAGGGAAGAAGCGAAAGUGACGGUACCUGCAGAAGAAGCACCGGCUAACUACGUGCCAGCAGCCGCGGUAAUACGUAGGGUGCGAGCGUUAUCCGGAAUUAUUGGGCGUAAAGAGCUCGUAGGCGGUUUGUCGCGUCUGUCGUGAAAGUCCGGGGCUUAACCCCGGAUCUGCGGUGGGUACGGGCAGACUAGAGUGCAGUAGGGGAGACUGGAAUUCCUGGUGUAGCGGUGGAAUGCGCAGAUAUCAGGAGGAACACCGAUGGCGAAGGCAGGUCUCUGGGCUGUAACUGACGCUGAGGAGCGAAAGCAUGGGGAGCGAACAGGAUUAGAUACCCUGGUAGUCCAUGCCGUAAACGUUGGGCACUAGGUGUGGGGACCAUUCCACGGUUUCCGCGCCGCAGCUAACGCAUUAAGUGCCCCGCCUGGGGAGUACGGCCGCAAGGCUAAAACUCAAAGGAAUUGACGGGGGCCCGCACAAGCGGCGGAGCAUGCGGAUUAAUUCGAUGCAACGCGAAGAACCUUACCAAGGCUUGACAUGUUCUCGAUCGCCGUAGAGAUACGGUUUCCCCUUUGGGGCGGGUUCACAGGUGGUGCAUGGUUGUCGUCAGCUCGUGUCGUGAGAUGUUGGGUUAAGUCCCGCAACGAGCGCAACCCUCGUUCCAUGUUGCCAGCACGUAAUGGUGGGGACUCAUGGGAGACUGCCGGGGUCAACUCGGAGGAAGGUGAGGACGACGUCAAAUCAUCAUGCCCCUUAUGUCUUGGGCUUCACGCAUGCUACAAUGGCCGGUACAAUGGGUUG
rnacentral:rRNA from 1 species